ensembl:lncRNA
CUAAGACAAACCCUAACUAUAUAGAAAGUAGAUGUAGUUAAUUAAUAUUACUCAGUACUUAAAUGUAUAAUUACACUGUCACAAGCACACCUCAAAAUAAUGUGUAAACCAAUUUUGUCAAGUUGUUUCCUACAUUGUUGUUACAUGUACUUAAUAUUUAGUUUUUUGUGUGUGUGUGUGUGUGUGUGACAUCCAGAUAUCAUAAUUUUAUUCCAAGUUUUUUAAAAUGUGUUAACUUUUGGCUGCUUAAGCAAAUAAAGAGUCAAGCUCUAGUUGCAUAAUGCAUGUUUUGGUAAAUAUUGUUGGUUAUUCUGUGCACAGAAAUUAUCAUAGUGUACAUACUGCAGAAAUUGUAAUAGUAGUAUGUCAUUCCAUACAUGAUCCAACAUGUGUGCCUUCUACAAUCUACCAUGUUGUUUUCGGUAAUGCUUUAUGGGUAAUAUUGGUUAAGUAUGACUUUUCUGAAAUAUCCUGAUAUGAUUUUCUUGGAACGUCUCUCUCAUGUGUUUCCAAUUAUGACAAAGUGUUUCACCAAACAAAUAACAGUAACUGUGUAACCACACAGUAAAUACUGUGACUCUUACAUGUCACCUUUCAAAUGUUGUAAGCUGUAUUUUAUGUGGUCAGAAACCUCUGGUGUCUAUAAGCCAGAAAAUAUGUAAAUGUAAAAUAAAUGAGUGCAGCCAUUCACAAUGUACUUGGCAGCACAAUCACUUAAUGACCAAUUCUCACCCACAAAAAUCAGACAUUUAAACAGCAAAAUGCUUAGCUAAUAUAUUUUGUCAGUCAUAACUCAAAUACUGGGCUGAAAUCAAGCAAAUGAAAUUAACACAACAUGUUCAAAAUGUUUUCCCAACACUUUAAACAUCUCUACAGAAGGGCAUCAGAAUCCAGACAAAACCAAAGACUGAAGAAAAACACGAUCAUGCUCAAACGAGAUCAUUCGCAGUGAUUCAUUGGUGUUUUCCAUAUGAUCUGAAUUACUGUGCUGGCUUCACGGCCUUUUUUGAGUCUUUUCAAGUUUUUGAGUCUCUUUUGGUCUUUGAUAUUGUAUGGAAAUGAGACAUUUUAAUGGGAAAUGAAAACCAUGUGAGCGCACAGCUGUGAUGAGAUGAUCUGGGGGCGGGGUUUAGUCUGGGUGGGGCGGGGUUUGUUGGUGCCACUUGAGGGAGGAGACCCUGAACAUCAUCAUUCAUCAUCAGUGGCCUGUGGUAAAACACUAAUGUUGGAGGUCACUUCCUGCGGCUCAGUAAACACGCUCAGUCAGUCUGUUCUGGGAACAGUGUUGCUUUUAGUCUAAUUAGGUGAGCAUCCAGCUAACGUGUAGUUAAGUUGCUGACCGCAGCCUCGAGGUGAGACGCUGUUGAAGAGUAUUAAUGAUAGCAGAUAGUUCUGAUAGAAAGUGAAAAGCAGACUGACUUCAUGAUGCAACAUUACGACAUAAAUGAGUGAGAAAAAAUGUAUAUAUUUUUUCUGUUAGUCACAAAAGUACACAUUUAGCAAAAUGUCCUGGCUCUUCUUUACCACACAUUGAAAUUAUUUAGUGAUGAUCACUAGCUGUCAAAGUCCAAAACUACUUUAAAGUACAUUUUAAAUCGCUAUGUUUUAAUAUUCUUUUUUUUUUUUUUUUUGUACGUGAAAGUUGUUGACAUAUUAACAUAUAACAUAUAAAAGUAUAUAUGAAAUGCAGCUUCAUCAAUUUAAAUACAUUUAAAUACAUGACAUAGAUGUUUCAAUAGAAAUGCAAUUGAAGUACAUUUUAGUUUACCAUAAAUGCUUAUCCAUAUGAUUAUGAAAUUACAGUUGAAGAUGUACUUAAGUCCUACAUCAGUGGGCCAAUAAUACACUCUAAAGGUUAGCUAAAUGCAUUUAAUAAACUUAAAGUAUAUUACAUUUUUUGUUACACAUAUUGCAUGCACUUAGUAUAGUAAUAACAGUAAAUUAUGCAUAAUUAAGUAACUAACCAUAAUCCUAUAAAAGGUACA